UGCCUCAGUAGCGGCGAGUGAGCGGCAGAGCUCAGAUUUGAAUCGUGCUUUGCGGCACGAGAUUGUAGAUUGCAGGUUGGAGUCUGUGUGGAAGGCGGUGUCCAAGUCCCUUGGAACAGGGCGCCCAGGAGGGUGAGAGCCCCGUGGGAUGCCGGCGGAAGCAGUGAGGCCCUUCUGACGAGUCGAGUUGUUUGGGAAUGCAGCUCCAAGCGGGUGGUAAAUUCCAUCUAAGGCUAAAUACUGGCGAGAGACCGAUAGCGAACAAGUACUGUGAAGGAAAGAUGAAAAGCACUUUGAAAAGAGAGUGAAACAGCACGUGAAAUUGUUGAAAGGGAAGGGUAUUGCGCCCGACAUGGGGAUUGCGCACCGCUGCCUCUCGUGGGCGGCGCUCUGGGCUUUCCCUGGGCCCAGCAUCG
rnacentral:rRNA from 1 species